UCUCCUUGUCCCCAUUCCAAUUGUUCUCUCCUUUUGGGCAGUUUCUUCCCCUUUCGCUGUCUCUCAUAUAUUUUGAAUAAUAGAAACUCCUUUGAGUUCUCAUUUGGCUUUUGAGGAAGCUGAAAGACUUUCUCAUGAUCAGGUGCAAAGCAGCAGUGCUGGGACUUCAAUUUUGGUAGCCUAACGCCCUGAGCUUCUAGCUCUAUGUUGAAAUGGUAGGAAAGGGGACGGUGAACGUUACAAUUGGGAUGUAUCUACCACAUACCCCUUGUUAGAGACGCACUCUCCAGCUGCACAGUGUGGAGAGGCAGGCCUUCAGGCGGGUGCUUCGGUAAGGAGGGCUCAGUCCUCAGAAGUGGACUUGCCAUUAUGGAUGGCUCGGCAGGGGAGUGUGGUCUUCUUGCUCUUCUGUCUUCUGCCGUGUGAGACACAGCGUUCUUCCUCUUAGGCGGGCACAGCGUAUAAAACACCACCCUGGAAGCAAAAGAACAGCCCGCCAGACCCGAUCUUGCACCUCCUCGCAUCUAAACCAUAAGAAGCACUACAUUUUCCCUAGCUCUCGUCGGUGUCAGAUUUGGUGUCUGGCUAGGCCUGCUUCCCUGGUCAUAGACAGCCAUUGGCCCCUGCCUACUAAGGUGGCCUAAGGGGUGAAGGAGUUCUCUGGGGUCUCUAAUGGGGGCACAAACUCCAUGCUGCAUGCCUCGUCAUUUUGCCUGGGCCUUACCCCUCCACACCAUCACUCUGGGGGUUAGGGCCUCAACACAUGGCCUGUGAUGGCGGGGAGGGUCGCAGACAUUUGGUCCGCGGCAGACACUCAUUGGCCUGACCUUUUCUAGCAGUGGUCCACGGCCUCUGUGUGUCCACUCACCUCAUGGCUCUCUAAAGAAGCCUUCAAUCUACAGAAGUGGACGACUGGACAAAGACAGAGUGACUAAAGGAGAAACCACGAAGAGGACAGCUGGACACCGAGCAACAAAGCUACGUGUGAUUUUCUUUGAACUUGGCUUUGGGUUUAGGGCGGAUGUGAACCUGAGGCUGCCCAUUAUCUGGGGCAAGGAGCAGUAUGAUUUUAUUUGCCCACACUUGGCUCCAAUUGUCUGGAAUUAGUAAGUUACUAUCACCACUUUUCCCUCUGUGUUAGUGUCCUAGAUGCCAGUGGUGUUUGGUUGCAUCAGACGGUGAUCUUUAUGUAGAGAUGGCUCUGCUUAGAUCUCUUUAUCAGCUGUAGAAGGGUUGGCUAGGUUUCUGGGAGCUACUCCCGGUGAGCUGCCAAUACUGGCCUUGAUUCUGGAUGCAAGUCAGUGAUAGAGAGCUUGCCUAGUUUGUGUGGGAUUCAAUUCCCAGCACUGAAAAAAAAUAAAUACAACCAUCAAAAACCGCAACAGAUGACCAACUGAUGAAGUUACACAAGCUGAGUGCUUCUUCGUAAAUACUGCAGCAAGCCUGAUGAUAGGGUAGGUCCUGGGUUAGAGAUAGCAGUUCUUCCUAAACCCUGGGCAUCAAAGCAGGGCACACGCUUCUGUCUCUCGGCUGACCUUUGAAGGGGCUGGCUAUCUUUAUGUGAACUGUGUGUCCAGUGACUGCUGAAUGGAUUAGUGAAGGAGAGAGGAUGUCACAGUGUCCUUCUCGUGCUGUCCUCCUGACCUAGGACAUUUCCGCUCGUAAGAUGACUACACCCCAAUCGAAGGCCCUUCUGCCUCUGUGAAACUUUUUUUUUUUUUUGCCUCAUUCUUGCUCACAGUUAACUUUUUCCUUUUCAGUGUCUGUAGUCCAGGUGGCUCGAGCUAUAUUACCAGCAUACACCGCCUAACGUUUUGCAUCAGUACCCUUCUCCUCAUCUGAAGAGAGAACAGAGGUCUCCGGGGCUUCCCCUCCAGCCAGUGUGCACAUCUUCAGCUGUGCGGAUUGCAGCUUUCACCUGUCCUCCUAAUACCCACAGCUGCUGUUAUGUUCUGUACAUGUCAUGCUGCCCUUGGAACACCUGCUGAUUUGAUUUGUCUUUAGAAAAAAGCUGAGGGCUUCCUGUUGACAUAGACCGGAGAAAGAAUUGCAGCGACUUCUCUGCCUGACUCUCCAGCCCCGAAAACAUCUGCUCCCUGCUGUAUAAGGCGUGUUACAGCGCGCUGUUCUCCCAAGGUGAAAGCGAGACCUCAGUUAAGAUGUCUUCCCACGGCAGCACCAUGAAACCAGUGAAUUCUGUAAAUGCCAUUUUCCUGUCAGUGCUAAAUAAAAACUCUCACUAUCUAGAUAUUCAGAUCUGGUGUUAGUGAGCCAGAACCAUACAGCAACCUAGCUUCCUCUGAGGGAGAGUUUGCUUUUUCAACUCUAGUUUUAAAACUUGUUAUCUGGUAUUCCAUGGCAGCAGCACUGAUGAGACAUUCAGAAGACACACACUGUGGCCCGGCGUGGUGGCACAUGCUUGUAAUCCCAGCACAUGGGAGGCUGAGGCAGGAGGAUCGCCAUGAGUUUGAGGCCAGCCUGGGCUAUAAAGAGAUUUCAGAGACAGCGACUUGAAGGUCCACACAUCAGGUGGAUUCCAGUAUCAGCAAUGUGAGAAGAGAAGAGGGCUGCUCCUUCCCUGAGCUGCAGAAGAGCCAGCUUGGGGACAGACUGGACACCUGCAGGAGGAGUGGAGCACCGCAGCCGCGGGCCAGGUGACACAGCCUCACACCUGCCUGGGAUCCUCACCUUCCCAUGGGAGAGGAAGCCAGUGAGGGAGACACUGCAGAUCAGGGCCCUGAAGAAAGCAGAAGACUCAUCCUAGGACGGUGAAGGGUGACCAGUGCUCCCUUGGGAGAAAAGGAGCAAAGGCACAGUUGGGCCCUGACCUCAGGAGACGGCAGGACAGUGAGUCCAGGCCAGGCAGCGUUGUGACCAGAAAGCCCCACGGGGGGUACCAAGGUGGCCAGCCCCACCCUUCCCUGCUUUGCACACCUGCACCCCUCCCCACGGCCACCUGCAGGGGCCAGAGCAUGGUGACACCAGGGGCACUCUCAUUGCCAGCGGGGCUCUGACACCACAGCAGGUGUGGGCUGGACAGAGACUCUUUGCAGGGUAUGGACAGAGAAUGCUGCAGGGUCGGAAAACUGGACCGCAGCAGCAUGGCCAAGGGCUGUGUGGCCUGCAGACCAGAAUGGCAAGGGAGCGGCCGCAGAGAUUUCACAGAGGAAAGGGGCAGAGGGCAGGAAGGUGCCCCGGAAGUCAGCAGGACUGGGCACCUGACAGGCACCCCGUUCCCCCUCUUCCGACACAACUGAAGGCAUUCUGUCCUAAGACAGAGGCCAGCCACGCCCCAGGGGCACCUGCCUGGCCCAGCCCUGCCUUCACAGCUGGCAGGAGGACAGCUGGUGCAGGGGAGCCCGCUGAGAACCAGGAGGCGCACCGGCCUCCCGCACUCACGCGGACUGGCGCUCAGCCCCACAGGGGCCCGGAGCCGAGGUUUCCCCAUUAGUGACGCGCGGAGGCCGGCUCCCUGGUCAAAGUCAGACUGCAGCGUGAACGGGACGCAGGGCUCCUUGCUUUGGUGUUUCUGUGUAUGUGUAGCUGGGUUUCCCUCUCUGUUCUUUCUUUCCUUUUCACUCAUAUAUAUGGUGCAUGUGUAAGUGGAAUGGAAAGUAAGAAUUGAUUAGUGCUUUACGUUAGAUAGCAUUGUUCAUGGGAAUAUCACAGUAACCCUCAACAAAAAAUUUUGAGUAGGAGCUGACCUUGCUCUCUGUCAGCAGCUAAGUGGUUCCAACCUCGUGACUGCUCCCCUCCAUCUCGUGUUAUACUCCUCAUCCCUUUUUCCCAGCCCCAAAAGUAACCUCUCAACGCCCCCGCCUUCCAUUCUAGAUAUAAAACUAAUAUCAACAAAAUUCCAUUUCUUUUCUUUCACCUGUUGUUCUCGUUCCUCCUUUCUUUUUUCCUGAACUAUCUUCAUUUUCUUCUUCCUUUUUCCUUUCUCCCCUCUCUGCAGUCCGUCCUGCUUGUCAUCAGUACUACGUCAGUCUUUCUGUCUCUUACAAAGUUUGUAAGGAGCCAGUGGAGACCUAGAAUAGCCAAAGCAAUCCUGAGCAGCAAGAGCAAAGCACGUGGCAUCACAACUCAAGAUUUCAAGCUAUAUUACAAAGCUACAGUAAGGAGAACAAUAUGAUAUUGGCAUACAAAAAGAUUUGAUCAACAGAAUGUUAUCAGGGAUGCAGAAACAACCUUGGGGAGACCGUCAGUCAUCUGAUGUUAACAAAGGGACCAAUAACAUAUGCUGGAAACAAGAUAGCAUCUUUAACAAACAGUUCUGGAAAAACUGGUCACCCACAUGGAAAAAUCAGAACCUAGAGUCAUAGCUCUCAUCUUGUAUUAAAAUCAAAUCAAAGUGGAUCAAAGACCUAGAUACAAAAAGAGGCACAUUUAAUCUACUGGAAGAUAAAAUAGGUAAAACUUUGGAAGACACAGGCAUAGACAAGGACUUUCUGAACAGAACCCCAGUGGUACAAGAGAGAAUACAAAGAAUCAACAAAGGAAUCACAUCAAAUCUACACAGCAACAGAGUGAAAAGACAACUUUCCUAAGUUGUAGGGGAUUCUAGCAGCUACUCCGGAGACAGAAGACUAAUAUCUGGACUACACAGAAAAAACUCAGAAAAACUGAACUCCCUCCCCCAAAAAGACCAAUAAAAAAUGAAUAGACAUUUCUCAAAAGAAGUACGUAUGCCCAGCAAAUACACUCCAAAUUGCUCAGCAUCUUUGGUGAAAGAAAUGCAAAUCAAAACAAUACAUAUUCCUUCCUACUCUAGAAAGAAUAGCAAUUAUCAUCCAGCACUCGACAAACAACCAAAUGGACAAGGCUGUAGGGAAAAGGGCCCCUCUGUGUUGUUGGAACUAAUGCGAACUAGUUCAACUACUAUGAGAGUCAUCCUCAAAAAACUAGGACUAGAACUCCCGUUUGACCUAGUUAUACUCCCCCUAGCGGUUGGUCAUCCUUGUGUUCCUAGCAGCACAGCUGACAUUAGCUAAAUCUUGGAACUGGCCCAUAUGUCCAUCUGCAGACGAGGGGUGCUGCGGUUUACACCCAGUGCCUCUUCGAAGCCUCCCACACUCACAGGUGGGACUUCUGGGCUGGCUGGAUCCUGGGUGUGACCCUGGGUUAGGCCACUGAUUGGUCUGACACAGUCUGUGCAUGGAUGAUGGACUCACUGAGGAGGGGAGACAUGCCUGGGUAUGGACGGCUCCAACCAGUAGGCUUGGAGCUGGAUGAAUAAAACAGGAAAGAAGGGAGGCUUCCCACUUGCCACACCAUGAACUGUUUGCCUUCUGCAAUGUCCCUCUGCCGUGCUGCCCUGCCUAGGAGCCAGCUGACUGUGGACUGAAACCUCUACAAACUGCGAGACAAAAGACUUUGCGACACUUCUACAAAUGUUCGGAUUCAGGGCACUCCUGUUCUUGCCACAGUGCAGCUUCCGGAAUCGGCAGAAGUCAAGCAUCGCAGGGCCGUCUAAGCACCGUGAGAUGAGAAGAACGUGAGCCGUGGGUGCACUUUCCUAUGGCCACAAAGCUCUGUGACCACAUAACCCUCGAUCUGUGUGGAACUAGGCACCGUGGGCGUUCCCCCCGCCCCCCCAGUCCUACAGAUCAGCUAUACCCAUUAGCAAAGAUCUCCUCCAGCUCUAGAAACUACUUUUGUCUCUCUUGCCUGGGAGAAACAGUAGCUCUUCCUCUCUGCUGACCUGAAAUUCUGCCCUGUCCUCUCGGGCUGGAGCCCUUCCUGGAGACACACUGUGAUGCACGGAGUGGCAGACAAGGUUCCUCGUGUGGUCCAUGCCGGGACACUGGGCCUCUUGCUUCGUAAAGGAUCCUGCAGCUGCCGGGAGAAAGUGGGAACCUGUCUCCACGGACAGCCCCAAAUCUAAGAUUCCGAGAAAAUGAGACAGGUGGACAUUGCUUGUGCCCAGCCUCUGAGGUUGAGUCCACAGACUUUCAGCACCUCCCUACUUUGGGAAAUUCUUUGGGCCGGGUAUCCUACCCUGCACUGGUGCACGAAGCAUGUUGUGGAACUGACACAGAUCCUCUCUUCCGCCUGGAACACGACUUUCUCCUUUCGCCUAAAAAGGAACAUUAGCAGCCGGCAGCAUGAGCCUGGCUUGCUUAGGGAGCACCCAGGAGCAGACCCUUCACUGGGCCAGGACAGAUCAGUGUCCUCAUUACCAGCUCGAUUUGGUGGGUAUCUGAGCCGAGUCUCCCCUCUUCCAGGAAGGAAGUUCCAGGCCUCUGCUUUUAGACACUAUUUCUACAUCUGGGCACUGGACUGGCUCCAGGAGGUGUGGAAGGUGGCCUGACCCAUCUGUGGAUGGAUGAGAGACUGCACUCAUGUUAACGUGAGGAUGGGAGGCUGAGGAGAAACUAGAGGAGCACUGUCUGCUGGCUCCAGGGCAAAUGAGAAAAACAAGGACAAAUCUUUGCUCGUGGCCUUACAGAAGUGUUGCAGUGCUGUAGCAAAGGUUUUCUUCAUCUUGGGAAGGCAGAGGAAUAUUCUGGGAGGAACUCAGCUGUGUUGGUGAGACAAGGAGGGAUGCAUGGCAGAGCUCACAGGAGGGGUCAGGAGUUGCCUUGGUAUGGCCAUUACUGGGCAAUGGCAGAGCGUGUGGGACAGGGCAGGAGGGGGCUGCUGACACAGGGCAGGUAUCAGGUGCCUCAGGCCUCAGAGAACUUAGGUGCCAUGAGAGUUGCAAAAAGCUCCAAAAGCAGCCAGAGGGAGACUGGAGCCCUGCUCCAGAUUGCACUGCUGUAGACUUGGAGUAGGCAACAGCCAGCUCCUCUGAGGGUGCACGCCUCAGCAGGCACCGAAGCAUGGUAUGUUUAAGGGUGUGUUUGGACCCAGUUAUUGAUUUUAACAAUCGCUCCCCUCUCCUCAGGGUUGAGUGGUGGCUCUCUCUACACUGAGCUCUUGCACCCUGACACUGCAUCUUCCUGAGCGGGGGUGGCUGAUCUGUGCCCCGCCUCCUGGAGUCCAGACCUGGCAGCAGCUGUCCUUCGGUGUGUCCUCCUGUGGUUCUGCAUCUUUCCAUCUGGAGCAAAGAGUUCGGUCAAACAUCAGCUGUUUAUUCAAAUAAGCUAAUGUUCCUUUGUAACGGUUUGUAAAUAUAAUGCAUAUUGGUUGAGAAAGUGCAGCAAUAAAUGCAUAAUGGGGGGGCUGGAGAUUUAGCUCAGCGGCAUAAGCGCCUGCCUUGCAAGCAGGCAGUCAUGGGUUCGAUCCCUGGUACCAGUAAAAAGGAAAAAGACAAAAAAAAAAAAAAAAAAAAAAAAGCAUAACGAUUCAAAGCAAGAAUCUUCCCACCUAGAAACAACCAGAAUGCUAACUCCUGUUUAAAUGUAUGGCUUGGAUUUAUUUCCAAGCUAGUGAAUAAGUAUACAUCACUCUUUUUAAUUACCGCACUUGGUAAUUACCACCAGUCCUUGAAACCAGGUUUUAAAACCAGCCUGCCUCUGCCCAGAUUCUAUAAACAGAGUAUGAGAUGACACUGACUCCUGUUUGUUUCCCUGGGAGGAGCAGCCCUGGGCGGUGGGAAGCAGUAGAGGAGAAGUAUUGGGCCUGGAGACCUUGGGGGCGAACCUGUUCCCCGCAGAGACACACAGAGAAGUCAGACCUCCCGGCUCUCGGAGGGAGGCAGGAGAAAGAAUUCCUUGCCAUCUCCUCCUCUUUUCUCCUACUGCUCAAAGGAAGUUCACCCAGAUGGCUCAGAAGCGUCCCUAGAGUGAGUCGGAAGCCCAAAGUCCCAUGUUGUUGCUGACCGCUCCCUAAGCAGAUCCUGACGUAGUUUUCUCACCUAUGAAGCCUGAACAGCAGGAUCCACUUGCGGAGCUGCUGUGAGCCUCGUGUGUCUGGGUGCGUAGAAGUGUGACAGCCAUCUACCCUUGCUCUGUGCCUUUCAAGAGAUGUGGGAAAUAUGAAGGCUACUUUUUUAUUUUUUUGGUCUUUUUGAUAGGGUCUCUGUGCAGUUCAGGCUGGCCUUGAGCUCACUUUGUAGCCCAGGCUGGUCUCGAACUUGCAAUGAUCCUCUUGCCUCAGCCUCCUGAGUGCUGGGAUUAUACCAUGCCUGGCUAGAAAGACUGCUUUUAAAUACUUUGUAUCCUAGUUUAUUUUUAUUCUAGUUUAAAAGUAAGAUCUAUUUUUACCUUAAUUUUUAAAAAGGAUGCAGUUUUUACUGGAAUUUGGGGCAUGUGAUAUAGUCACUGCCAGUCUAACAGGGGCUUGAUGUAACACUUGGGUUGAAGAGGCAAAUCUAAUUUUGGAUGAGCAGGUGUCUGAAGAGGUGUGAAAAGGAUCACACCAGCCUGUACCUGCCAGGAACACCUGAAGGAGGAGACCUGGGUGGCCUGCAGCAGCACCUGUGGGCAGCUCGGGCUGUGAACCCCACCAGCUGUGCCCUGAGGCUUCCCUGCUCUGCCCCCAGUUCACCAUGAUUGGCUGUGAGUGAUGCCAGGGUGUCGGAGGCUCAGUAUGUCCCUCAGUGCUCAGCUCUGGGCUCCGAAGGACUGAGAUGCGGCCUGAGGCUGAGGCAAAGAUGUGCUGUGACCACCACUCCCUGAAACAGCUGGAAACACAGGCCCGAGGAGAAGCAGGUCACCAGAAGACCUUACACCAGAGUGGUAGAGGAUCUGCAGUGAGAGCUGGCCGGGCCCACGGCAGCGGGGGCUGGAAGUUCAUCUCUGUCUGUGGUUUGACAUAAUCUCGGUUUCAGUAUCUCUUCAAAGAUCACCUGUAGAGCCUCCCACAGAAGGCUGGAGGUCAGAGCACCAAGGCUGUGGGGUAGGCUGCCACGACUCCCCUGUGAAGGGUGCAGUGGUGAUUCCAGCUGCAGCGCCUGCAGCAGAUGCAAACAGACACCAUGCUGCAAGGCUGGCGUUGCCUGAGCUCUGCGUGCCCUCACCGCCUCCCUAGUGGGCACCGGGAGCCUGUGUAGGUGGGUGCAGGUGACAACACUGACCUGGCCACUGCCCCCAGAGGUGAGCACCACCUAAAGGCUCCAUUUCAGCUUCACCCUAGACUGUCGGCAAACAAUUCCACAUUUAGUAAGUUUCCUCCUUCUCCACAGGGAGGGCUCCUGAAGAUUGUGGUCAAAGGACAAAACACAUUUGAUAGAACUGUGGGGGACCGGCGGCGGCUGAAAAGAUAAGAAGUAUGAAAUAUAAAUGACCUUUAUUUUGAGAAUGUGGGAAGAGACACCCCCGACCCCCUGGGGCGUGGCAUCUCCACCCCGGGGUCUGCGAUCUCUCCUUGAAACACGUGGAGUGAGGCACAUAAGUAGCCUCGGUUUGAAAGGGGGCAUUAGGGAUGCACAAGUAGCCCAUUGGUCUUUGUUUGGUGCCACAGGUAAAUUCCUAGGGGUGGGGGAGAUAGGAGCUCCUUGGCUUUACCAGCUACAGUGUCCUGUCUGGGAUAAAACCCUUUCAACAUUCUCUCUGCACCUCAAAUGUUGCUUUUCAUUUAUUUUUCCUAUUUUAUGAAAAUAUAAAACAAAUUUUCAUAGUUGAAUAGUAAGAGUGCAAGACAUAAACCCAAAAGAUUCUUACAGAAGAGAAGCAGAUAAUGACACAGAUUUUCUUUGCAAUGAGCUAAGAUGAGCUAUCAGUGUAAAUGAAGCGCACUGGCAUAGAUGCUGAAUUAUUUUUAAAGCAACAGAGCAUGUAAUUUGGGGAAGCUUUGAGCUCCCUGCUUCCUGUUUUUCUUUUUUCUGUUUUGCUCUGGUGUUUGUCAUGUACGGGAAGCCGUGUGACCCUGAAGCCCACGUCUGACCUGUUUCACUUAACAUUAUGUUUUCAAGUCGCAUGCAUUUCCCUAUGAAUGCCUCAAGGUUAUCUUUCCUUACGGGCAAAGAUUGUGAUCCAUUUCUACUAGUGAUAGAUUAGGAAGGAAAGUCUUCCCGAAAGUGUAUAAUGAAGAACCAAUGUCCUUAACAUGAAAAAAACAACAAGAAAAACCUGCAAAAGACUGGAACAGGGAACUCACAGAACAUAAUAAAAUGGCCCAGAACUAUAUGGAAAAAUGCUUUCAUGUCUCUCAAGGAACAGAUCUCUUAAUAUCUCUUCAGUAGAACAGUAAGAAAACCUUUGUUUUGAAUAUUGGCAAACAACAACCGCACAAAGGCUGAGAAUCCUCUGGCCUGUUUCCUGAUCGAUGUGUUUGCUGAGGCUGUUAAUACUCUGGUUGACUGGAUAUGUGGGACCAGGCUGGAGGUCAUGUGUGUUCCCCGCUCCAAUAGCACCAGUGCCUAAGAGAAGGACCCCCGGGGAGAGGCUCAGAAGGCUCUGAGUCCGGUGGCUGCUCUGAGAUUUCCUCGGUGACCUUGGGUGUAGACUUUCAGUGCCUUAUUCUGCAUCUGAAUUUACGGAGGAUGUGACCUACUUUUUCCAUGUCUCAAUGAAAUGUGAUCAAGAUUAAUGGCCUAACACAGAAAAUAUUUCCAGUGCCUUGAAUGACCAGACUCAUUACUCAGUGCCUGAGCUAAUAAAUCUGGUAAAAAUCAGUCGAAUUCCCUUAAUUCAGGAAAAAUGCUUGCUUGAAACCAUGCAAUUUUAGAAGUGAGUCUGUAUAAAACUGAUCUCAUUUAGAAUUUCUCAAAGUGUCCUUCAAGUCGAUGGUGAAAUCAAACUUAGAGAACUGGUUACAGCUGGAGGACAUGAACCGAGAAGCCAAGAAGCUUGGCUUGGUCUAGAGGGGUCCACACACUUCCUGCACAGGGCUUCGCCGCCCCUGGAAUGUGUCAGUCUCCAGACGCUACAGAAAGGUUUUCUUGCUCAAACUUUUAAGCUUUUGUAGUAUAACACACUUGUUUUUCUAACAUAAACUAAAAUGUUCAGGGUUUUUGCU